UAUCCUGGCUCAGGAUGAACGCUAGCGGCAGCCUAAUACAUGCAAGUCGAACGGGGAUUGGGGAGCUUGCUCCCAUGAGAGUGGCGUACGGGUGCGUAACGCGUAUGCAACCUACCUUCAUCAGGGGGAUAGCCCGAAGAAAUUCGGAUUAACACCGCAUAAAACACAGGAUAGCAUUAUCCAAUGUUCAAAUAUUUAUAGGAUGAAGAUGGGCAUGCGUGUCAUUAGCUAGUUGGUAAGGUAACGGCUUACCAAGGCGACGAUGACUAGGGGAUCUGAGAGGAUGACCCCCCACACUGGUACUGAGACACGGACCAGACUCCUACGGGAGGCAGCAGUAAGGAAUAUUGGUCAAUGGAGGCAACUCUGAACCAGCCAUGCCGCGUGCAGGAAGACAGCCCUAUGGGUCGUAAACUGCUUUUAUGUCGGAAUAAACCUAUUUACGUGUAAGUAGCUGAAUGUACGGCAAGAAUAAGGAUCGGCUAACUCCGUG
rnacentral:rRNA from 1 species